rnacentral:ribozyme from 13 species
CAAUGCUAGUGAAAGUUAAGAAGAAGGAAGAGAGGGAAAAGGGGGGAGGGUUUGUUUUGUUUGGAGUUAUCUCUGGUCUUUGGAUCUUCUUUUCUUCCUCUUCUUUAAUAAUU